ensembl:lincRNA
GGAGGGGUUUGGGGGUGGAGGGGGAGACUUUUAGGCUUCUGUCACUAAGAAGUUUCAGACCACUUGUGCUGACGUCAAGUUUCUGACCCUGUAUCUCUCUUUGUCUGUCUUUCUCCCUAUGUUACAAAACGUGUUCCUGUCAUGUUGGUUUUAUCAGGACAGAUCUCAUAUAUCGCAGCAACAAAGAUGGCCCCCAGGAGUUCCAUGGACCCUUAUUUCUCAUCAUUUAGAAGGAGAAAGCACCUCUUUCCUCAGUUCCUCUCUUCAGGACUCCCAGUACCCCUGCUUCUGGUGACAGCCCAUGGCAGGUGGGGAGGACGUGCAGAUGGAAAGAAUGAGAAGGGCAGCCCAAGAAGAGAGGAGGCUUGGAAUCACCACACUUCCCACAGCAAGGGCAAUCUUUAAAGGCAGUAAGGUGUGACGCUCCAGACUGGCAGCUUGGCAAGACAGAGCCCAUGGAUACCAGCACACGGGAAUCUGGACGGCUCACUCUGACAGCAGUCAGCACUGGGAACAAAAGGAAUGGAGGGAAAAAAGCGCAAAUGUAUUUUUACAUAUUGUAGGCAUAUGGCCACAAGACCAGCAGAAAUAUAUUUAAUUACCAAUUGCACGCAUUGAGGAGAAAAACACUGGAAAUGGGGGAAAAACUGUAUACACAGCAAUAUUAUUCUAAUUUAACUUUUCACCUCAGUUUUUUUUUUCUUUCUUUAAUUGAAAAUGGAAGGGAAUGUGGGUUGGAAUCGCAAAGGGUUAUCUUCUGGAAUUCUAUCAAAGGUGAUGUGGGAUUUUGACAUGCCUUCUUUAACAGCAUAACAUUAUAGAAAGAAAUAGGAAAGUUUUCUUUUAAUUAUUUUAAUUAUGAAAUAAUUUGACCAAGGCGUUUUGGGGGAGUGGGGCAGACCGGAUUUGAAAUAUAACAGUUAGACAAUCUUACUGUCAUGUUAAAACUGUACUUUUGAUGUUACACAUUAGUUUAGGCCUCAACAAUUAAUAACCUAAUCUUGAAAAAUUAUAUUCUUGUUCUUUUCUAUGAAAGCAGAACACUUCAACCCCAUUUAUUGUCAGGUAUUGUCCUAGCCAGUGGAGGUACAGAGGUGAAUCAGAUGUCAUCCCUGCACUGAAGAAGCAUAGCCUAGGCCGGGAGACAAAUACACAUAUAUAUAAUUAUAAUUAUAAUGUUAUACCAUUAAAUUAUUAAAUAUGUGAAAAUUAUCAUUAGCUAAAAUCACAAUUAUAAUACACAUAAUACCAUCUAUAUAAGGCAAUGAUGUAGCUAUAUGAAUCCAGGGGCCAUAGAGGAUUGACUCUUAGUUCAGUCUGGGUGUCAGUCACACUGGAGGACCAGGGAGGAGACCUCUUCCAGGAAAAGCUGAUGAAAAGGAUCAGUGAGAAAAAGCCUGGGAAGAAGGCAGUUGCAUUUUGCAGAAUGAAAGAGUUUGGGCCAGUGUGAGCCAGCUCCCUUCCUAGGGUGCCGGCUCAGGGAGUCAGGUAAUGGGGCCAGGGAAACGUGUGCCCACUGACUUGGGAAAGAGAGAGGGGCCCGUACCUCCUUCUUGGCAGGAAAGAAAAUCACAGCCCCGAAAAAGUAACUUGCCAGGAGUCCCCUUCUUUGUAGCAUUCCUAUCACUGACUUCCUGUUAGCCUGGGUCUCCUGUUCUCAUCCUGCUCUUUGAAAUCCUUGGUGGCCAGUGCCGGCUAUGUAGGUGACCUGUGCUCCCUGGUCCCAUGGAGGUUCUGCCCAGCUGACCAGCCUUGCAGUCUGUUUCUGCAGCCCAGAUAAUGGUUCAGAGGCAUGUUAAUGUGUGCUUUGCUUUAUGUAGCAAAUAUCAUCUUGAAAAGUUUUUUUGUACAUUUACUUUUUUUUGUAAAGCGACCUACAUAAUAAAAGCACCAGGGGAGCUGGUUAUUUAAAGGAACCCUGUAGUGAAUCUUUUCAUAAUGUAGAAGCCAUUCCUUAAUUAAUCUUUGUUUUUCAUCAGAUAUACCUGUGCCUCUGUGGCUUUUUUUUUUUUUUCUAAGAAGAAGCAGCCUAAGCUAUAGUGCCAAGUGCAUGAGACUGAGGGCCAGGGCUUCCAGAGCGCAUGCUGAGCUGUUGCUGGCUGCCACUGGGUUGAGGAUGUGAGCAUGACCUUGGGGUCAGUUCUGUCUUCUGACAAAGGCAGAAUCAAAUGGGCUCAGGUUCAAAUCCGGGUUUUACCAUCCAUCGACUUCAUUUGGCAAUUCACUUGUUUCCUUGAAUGUUAGUUCUUUACCCAGGUACUGGGUGGUUACAUACGUCAAAUCAAAAAGAAGUUUCUUCGAGGGCCUGGCAUCAUAGCUAUGACUAAGGGUUUGCUUGCCCCCACUCAAAUUCUACUCUGCUCCACUCUGCAACAGCCCCUUGGAGCAAGAGCCACAGCUGGACUUGUUGGGAGGAAAUACUUGUUAACUGGGGACCUCCCUGCAACUCUUUC